rnacentral:rRNA from 1 species
AUGAGGUAUGUUGGCGGCAUAGGACGGGCCACGGCUGUUCCUCCUCAAGAACUCGUAGAAGAAGUUUAUCACGAUCCGCUUCACGAAACUAGACCCGCUCUUGGCCUUCAUGUGGGAGUGACCCAGAAUGAAGGACAUGCCAGCCUCCCUUGCGUCCAUCAGGUCCUGCAGCUCGCUCCGCACCUCGGCGUCCACCUGGGCGCUCUUUGGCAGCACAAACCUCGCUUUCUUCCGCUGUGGUGCCACAGUUUGUUGGUUUAUCUCCUUGUUAGGGGACGCCGGCCCAUCAACUUCACCGUCACCGCCCUCCUCCCACAAUGGAAUGGCACCGCUGCUAAUGGAGGAGAGCUUCUCGCUGCCUUCCACGAAGCCGUUCUGGUCGGCGCCCCCACUGCGGAUGAACUCCGCGAUGCUGUUGAUUAG